UCCCUCUCUCUCUCUCUCUCUCUGUGCACCUGCUGGUGGGCUCUUUGCAGUUGGACCUCUUCACCCAGUUCCUACUUAAUGAUGAUGGUUUAGUGUGGAUCUCGAAAUACUUGGGAAUCUGCCUCUGCUUUGAAUUCCAACUUCCUGAACAUAGUGCAGGUAUGGGCAAACUUGGGCCCUCCUCCCUCCAGGUGUUUUGGACUUACUCCCAAGGCGCACCAGUCUUACUUUCUCAGGAAGGACUUAUGGCUCCUUGUCUCCACCAGAAUUUUAGAUUUUGUCCCCCUUUCACUGAAAAUGCAACAGAGGAAGAAAGGAUCCUACAGUUUCGAGAAGGAACUAUGAAUACAAAUGACAAGGGAUCUCCAUAUUCAUUUCAGAUUCACUGUUUUGUAUGGUAAUCUUUUUUCUUUAAUGAUAGAUAAUUUUAUGGAUUUCUGUUCAAAACUAGCACAAUUUAAUCAUCCAUUAGGAAAGGAGUAUCCCAAAAAACCCUCCACUAAUAUCAUAGGCUUUCCAGGAUUAAAAUUCAGGUGUAUAUACGUGUAUGAUUCCUUCUAAAAUACCAAAUUAUGCUACUGCCUUUGCCUGUACACUUCAUAUGGAUACGUAGAACUUCAAAUAACAAUAAACACUUAUUUUCAAGGGGACAAGUAAUGUAGGUACUGAGAAGUGAAUAAAUGCAUAAAAGAAACAAUGUAUAAGUGAAGCUGCAUAUAACAAUUCCACAAACAAGGGGGUCAUCUUAUUUUUACAAUUAACAUAUAUCUGCAAUACUGAUAAGGUUUCAGUCUCAAGAGCAUAUCUCUGGGCUUGGGAAACUGCAGCCUAUUUAUGUGUGCUACUGCCAGUAGUAGUGGGUGACUCCCAUGUGAAGGAGUCAGUGACUCUGUUCCAGAUUUUAGUCUGAACUCCAUUGAAGUUUGAAUUUAAAUUCAGAGUCAGUUCAUUAUGUGGCUGACAUUCAACCAACUAGAGCUAGUGUGAUGAAAUGUAAGGCUGAGCAAUGUGAGGCAGAGGUAAAUUUCAAAAA